CUACGGGGUGCUGCAGUGGGGAAUAUUGGACAAUGGGGGCAACCCUGAUCCAGCCAUGCCGCGUGUGUGAAGAAGGCCUUUUGGUUGUAAAGCACUUUAAGCAGGGAGGAGAGGCUAAUGGUUAAUACCCAUUAGAUUAGACGUUACCUGCAGAAUAAGCACCGGCUAACUCUGUGCCAGCAGCCGCGGUAAUACAGAGGGUGCGAGCGUUAAUCGGAAUUACUGGGCGUAAAGCGAGUGUAGGUGGCUCAUUAAGUCACAUGUGAAAUCCCCGGGCUUAACCUGGGAACUGCAUGUGAUACUGGUGGUGCUAGAAUAUGUGAGAGGGAAGUAGAAUUCCAGGUGUAGCGGUGAAAUGCGUAGAGAUCUGGAGGAAUACCGAUGGCGAAGGCAGCUUCCUGGCAUAAUAUUGACACUGAGAUUCGAAGGCGUGGGUAGCAAACAGGAUUAGAUACCCUUGUAGUC
rnacentral:rRNA from 1 species